rnacentral:lncRNA from 1 species
CGAGCCUGGGCCUGCAGCGCGGCGGCGGAGAGAACGGAGAGGACAGCUGGGAGUCCUGUAUACUUUGAAGAGGAGAGCAGCAAGAAGCCUCUAACUCCCAGGCCAGCGUGCAGGAGAUCAGCCGGCGUUACAGUCUACACUGGGCUACCCACUGUCCCAUGAAGUAGCAGUUCUCCCCAUGUCGUAGAGUGGGGCCCCGGCAGAUUAAGAAACUUU